rnacentral:rRNA from 1 species
UACAGAGGUGGCAAGCGUUGUUCGGAAUUACUGGGCGUAAAGGGCGCGUAGGCGGCCUCCUAAGUCAGACGUGAAAUCCCCCGGCUUAACCUGGGAACUGCGUCUGAUACUGGGAGGCUAGAGUGCGGGAGAGGGAUGCGGAAUUCCAGGUGUAGCGGUGAAAUGCGUAGAUAUCUGGAGGAACACCGGUGGCGAAGGCGGAUCUCUGGGCCGAUACUGACGCUGAGGAGCGAAAGCGUGGGGAGCGAACAGG